rnacentral:lncRNA from 1 species
AAAUUUUUAGGAAAUGCAAUGCGACCGGUGAUUCGGUUUUGAUGAGAUUAUUAUUUAAUACUCUGUUUUUGGUAUUUCAAGUUUGAAGACAAAGGGGAUGGUGCCCUGUUUCUGCUGUCCCUUUUGCUCCGCUAAAAAUUUGCAGUUUUGAAAGGAAGAAUAAAAAUUGUCAGUUUCCAUAUCAUAUCAGAAUUUCAAAUUGUCUGUUUCCAUAUCAUAUCAGAGUUUUAAACAUCAGAUCACACACCAUAAAUUACAAUAACAAAUAAGCUGUAGAAAACAGAGGGACGAACAAAAGUCAGGCUGGAGCUGCAAGAAAAGCCAACAGCCUUACAUAAUUAUUCAAACAUAUAGGCUGAACAGCAUAACUGGAUAGAGAGACCAUAGUAUAGUUAGGAAACUAUGAAACCUGCUCCAUGCAUUUAUCAUGGUCAAGAAACAGACGGGAACCAACUUUAAAAACACGCUUUAGUAUUAGAAAGAGAGAUGCAAAAAUUUGGCGCUUGAUCGAUCCUCGGACUGGAAUCACAAAAGGGUACUUUUUGAUUUUGUUGGGCUGGUCAGAAAAGGGAUUCCUGUUCUUUUGCUGCUCCAUUCUGGGUACGGAAUAUGGAUUUCUAGAGGGAGGAGGAGCUGGGGGAGUU